UACGGGGGGGGCAAGCGUUGUUCGGAAUUACUGGGCGUAAAGGGCUCGUAGGUGGCCAACUAAGUCAGACGUGAAAUCCCUCGGCUUAACCGGGGAACUGCGUCUGAUACUGGAUGGCUUGAGUUCGGGAGAGGGAUGCGGAAUUCCAGGUGUAGCGGUGAAAUGCGUAGAUAUCGAGAGGAACACCUGCGGCGAAGGCGGGUUGCUGGGCUGACACUGACGCUGAUGCGCGAAAGCCAGGGGAGCGAACGGG
rnacentral:rRNA from 1 species